AUACGUAGGGGGCAAGCGUUAUCCGGAAUCAUUGGGCGUAAAGGGUGCGUAGGCGGCCAGAAAGGUCAGAGGUGAAAGGCUACGGCUUAACCGUAGUAAGCCUUUGAAACUAUUUGGCUUGAGUGCAGGAGAGGAAAGUGGAAUUCCUAGUGUAGCGGUGAAAUGCGUAGAUAUUAGGAGGAACACCAGUGGCGAAGGCGACUUUCUGGACUGUAACUGACGCUGAGGCACGAAAGCGUGGGGAGCAAACAGGAUUAGAUACCCUGGUAGUCC
rnacentral:rRNA from 1 species